GACGAACGCUGGCGGCGUGCCUAAUACAUGCAAGUAGAACGCUGAAGAGAGGAGCUUGCUCUUCUUGGAUGGGUUGCGAACGGGUGAGUAACGCGUAGGUAACCUGCCUUGUAGCGGGGGAUAACUAUUGGAAACGAUAGCUAAUACCGCAUAACAAUGGAUGACACAUGUCAUUUAUUUGAAAGGGGCAAUUGCUCCACUACAAGAUGGACCUGCGUUGUAUUAGCUAGUAGGUGAGGUAAUGGCUCACCUAGGCGACGAUACAUAGCCGACCUGAGAGGGUGAUCGGCCACACUGGGACUGAGACACGGCCCAGACUCCUACGGGAGGCAGCAGUAGGGAAUCUUCGGCAAUAGGGGCAACCCUGACCGAGCAACGCCGCGUGAGUGAAGAAGGUUUUCGGAUCGUAAAGCUCUGUUGUAAGUCAAGAACGGGUGUGAGAGUGGAAAGUUCACACUGUGACGGUAGCUUACCAGAAAGGGACGGCUAACUACGUG
rnacentral:rRNA from 1 species